rnacentral:rRNA from 1 species
CCCUUAGAUGUUCUGGGCUGCACGCGCGCUACACUGAUGCGCUCAACGAGUUUUAACCUUGCCUGGAAAGGUUGGGUAAUCUUUUUAAAACGCAUCGUGAUGGGGAUAGAUUAUUGCAAUUAUUAAUCUUCAACGAGGAAUUCCUAGUAAGCGCGAGUCAUCAGCUCGUGCUGAUUACGUCCCUGCCCUUUGUACACACCGCCCGUCGCUCCUGCCGAUUGAGUGAUCCGGUGAAUAAUUCGGACUGCGGCAUUGACCGGUUCCCGAUCGUUGCUGCGGAAAGUUUAGUGAACCUUAUCACUUAGAGGAAGGAGAAGUCGUAACA